rnacentral:rRNA from 1 species
CCUACGGGAGGCAGCAGUGGGGAAUAUUGCGCAAUGGGCGAAAGCCUGACGCAGCGACGCCGCGUGAGGGAUGAAGGUCUUAGGAUCGUAAACCUCUGUCAGCAGGGAAGAAAGGUCACGGAGCUAAUCAGCAGUGAAUUGACGGUACCUGCAAAGGAAGCACAGGCUAACUCCGUCCCAGCAGCCGCGGUAAUACGGAGGGUCCGAGCGUUGAUCGGAUGUACUGGGAGUAAAGCGAUCGUAGACGGUAUGUCAAGUCAAGUGUGAAAGUCCGGCGCUCAACGUGGGAACUGCGUUUGAAACUGGCAGACUGGAGUGUGUGUGAGGAUAGUGGAAUUCCAGGUGUAGGAGUGAAAUCCGUAGAUAUCUGGAGGAACAUCAGUGGCGAAGGCGACUAUCUGGCACAUAACUGACGCUGAGGAGCGAAAGCGUGGGUAGCAAACAGGAUUAGAUACCCCUGUAGUC